rnacentral:rRNA from 1 species
AGAGUUUGAUCCUGGCUCAGGAUGAACGCUAGCGGCAGGCCUAACACAUGCAAGUCGAGGGGCAUCGGGAUUGAAGCUUGCUUCAAUUGCCGGCGACCGGCGCACGGGUGAGUAACGCGUAUCCAACCUUCCGUACACUCAGGGAUAGCCUUUCGAAAGAAAGAUUAAUACCUGAUGGUAUGAUGAAAUUGCAUGAUAGCAUCAUUAAAGAUUUAUCGGUGUACGAUGGGGAUGGCGUUCCAUUAGGUAGUAGGCGGGGUAACGGCCACCUAGCCUACGGAUGGAUAGGGGUUCUGAGAGGAAGGUCCCCCACAUUGGAACUGAGACACGGUCCAAACUCCUACGGGAGGCA